GUUGAAAGUUGGACAUGCGCAGUAGCGAACACAAAGAAGAACAGCAGUACGGCUCUCUGGAGGGAACGUUACAGCCGAGCGCGAGCUAACGCUACCUGAGCUAACUUGCUAGCUAAAACCGUUAAAAACAUGGACGAACUUAAUGACGUCACGGUGUCGGCUUUAAGAGCUGCAAACAUGAGUGAAGAAAUGAUCAGGACUCACGAAGACCUGAGGGACCAGAGGAAGUGAAGAGAGCUCAGAUACAGACUGAGCUAAAACAUGAAGCCUCAGUGUAACUGACUAACUGCACUGGAUUCCUGCAUCUCAGAGCUAAAAAGACAAGUUCUUUCUCAUGCAGAGAAAAUAAAAUGUUUGUUUAAUGCCAGACUUGUUUUCAUUUAAGUAGGUGGUUGUUAAAUCUAGAACAGUGUCAUUAUUGUAGAGCUGAUAGUAAAUUAAAUGCACAUGAACUGAGAUGAAUUAUUAUUAUUACACUUCUAAUAAAUGUC